GUUUGAAGUUCUAACAGAUGAUUUCCAGGGAAUCACGCAAUUAUGUAACAAAAUCCCGAUAGAAGAAUGAGCCUGGCAAGGAUGCCAUGGUAAUUGGAUGAAACUUGCGAUCCUGUAACGCCACAUUGAAUUCGGACUUCCAAAAAGCGAAGAAUAAGGCUUCAAAUCUUUCUAUAGAAACAAUGGCG